AAUUUUUCGUUUUAACAUAGUUGCAUGCAAAAGAAAUUUAUUUAGAUAUUGGUUGGAAUGAUUUUUCGACGACCAAAAAGUAUUCGCAUGCUACUUGUAUGUAAAAGUUAGGUUGUAUUAAUCGUAACGACUACACAUGAAUUUGAAGAAAUCUUCUUUCAUUCUCUAAUUCUGAAAAAAAGUGAAUUGAGCAAAAUAGUACUCCACGAGUUGCUAAUGUGCUCAGGUACUAUUCAAAACGAUCACUGAACCAAGUGAUGAAUCUAUACUCAUUUUGAACAAUUU